AGGGAAUUCAGCAGUGAAAAACAUUGAGCAUAAGCGAUAGCUUGACUCAGUUAAAUUAUUCAUCUCCGGCGCAAUCUGGUGCCAGCCGCCGCGGUUACCCCCACUGGGGCUCAAAUUGACUUCUUUCGGCGUAAAGCGUGCUUAAAGCCUAAAAUUUCUUGGAAUUAAACUGAAACUAAGCCGUGACACGCUUGUUACUCAAGAAAACCAAAAACGAAAGUUAUUCCAAUUCUCUCAACUUGAAUUCACGAUAACUAGGAAACAAACUGGGAUUAGAUACCCCACUAUGCCUAGUCGUUUACUUUAACUUACCCCUUCAUCGCCCGGGAACUACGAGGUAAGCUUAAAACCCAAAGGACUUGACGGUACCCCAUAUCCCCCUAGAGGAGCCUGUCCUAUAAUCGAUAACCCCCGUUUAACCUCACCAUUUUUUGCCAAUCAGCCUGUAUACCUCCGUCGUCAGCUUACCACGUGAGCGUCAGUGAGCCUAAUGUUUUUCCAACUAUACGUCAGGUCAAGGUGCAACAUAUAAAAUGGGAAGAGAUGGGCUACACUUUCUACCAUAGAAUAAACGAAAGACUUA
rnacentral:rRNA from 1 species